AUGUGUGAGUGUGGGGCCUGAAAUUUUGCACACAUUUACAAUAAUUGUAAAUGUGUUGAAAAUCGUUUGCACAACUGUGA
rnacentral:pre_miRNA from 2 species